rnacentral:rRNA from 1 species
GACGAACGCUGGCGGCGUGCUUAACACAUGCAAGUCGAACGGAAAGGCCCUGCUUUUGUGGGGUGCUCGAGUGGCGAACGGGUGAGUAACACGUGAGUAACCUGCCCUUGACUUUGGGAUAACUUCAGGAAACUGGGGCUAAUACCGGAUAGGAGCUCCUGCUGCAUGGUGGGGGUUGGAAAGUUUCGGCGGUUGGGGAUGGACUCGCGGCUUAUCAGCUUGUUGGUGGGGUAGUGGCUUACCAAGGGUUUGACGGGUAGCCGGCCUGGGAGGGUGACCGGCCACAUUGGGACUGAGAGACGGCCCAGACUCCUACGGGAGGCAGAAGUGGGGAAUAUUGCACAAUGGGCGGAAGCCUGAUGCAGCAACGCCGCGUGCGGGAUGACGGCCUUCGGGUUGUAAACCGCUUUCGCCUGUGACGAAGCGUGAGUGACGGUAAUGGGUAAAGAAGCACCGGCUAACUACGUG